CCUACGGGAGGCAGCAGUGAGGAAUAUUGGUCAAUGGGCGGAAGCCUGAACCAGCCAAGUAGCGUGCGGGAUGAAGGCCCUACGGGUCGUAAACCGCUUUUGCACGGGGAUAACACCCGCCACUUGUGGAGGUCUGCAGGUACCGUGCGAAUAAGGGCCGGCUAAUUCCGUGCCAGCAGCCGCGGUAAUACGGAAGGCCCGAGCGUUAUCCGGAUUCAUUGGGGUUAAAGGGAGCGUAGGCGGGCGUUCAAGUCAGCUGUAAAAUCGCGCGGCUCAACCGCGCCCCGCAGUUGAAACUGGACGCAUUGAGUUCACAACAGGCAGGCGGAAUUCGUGGUGUAGCGGUGAAAUGCAUAGAUAUCACGAGGAACCCCGAUUGCGAAGGCAGCCUGCCGGGGUGCGACUGACGCUGAGGCUCGAAGGUGCGGGUAUCAAACAGGAUUAGAUACCCGAGUAGUC
rnacentral:rRNA from 1 species